AUCGAUCAGAUAUGGAUGAGAUAGUUCUGUGGGCUUUGGUACCCCAAUGGUAUGACACUAGCCACAGACGGCUUUGGAUUUGUGCCUUGGUUCAGGUACUUAACAUUUGAUUUGCUGCCUCAUGAUUUCCCUCGGCUGGCUUGCGUGUGCAGGUACUAAUCUUGGUGUGAGCUCAAGGUAAAAGGCAAAGCCUGAAGGUAGGCAAUCAUCAUUAGCUAGGUAGUUAUACAUGGUCUGCUUACUUAGCAUAAUUUGGAAGUAUUAAAUACAGUACUCAAUAUUAGUUGUCUUUUGAAAAAUAUGCCAGUCUUGUUUGUCGCAUACAUAUUAUUAAUCUAGAAGAAACCAAGAGCAGACACUCACACUUUGGUCGAACCCACAUUUUAAACCUGGGAUAAGUAGAUAUCAGUUGUACUUAAUGGUUAUAAAUAUGUUUUUUCCCAAUAUCUGAAGUAUUGCGACGGAGCGAGAUAUCUAAAUACCACCAGCAAUUAUUAGUGUUUCUUGCACAAUUCAAAGAACUUAACAUUUAUCCUGAAAGUAAUCAUAAAUCAAUGGUAGAUAGAAUCAACUAAUUAAAAUAACCUCGUGCUAUUUAUUUUCCUAUAGUAUUGGAAGUUUUGUUAGUGCCCAUGCAUCUGCAU